CCUACGGGUGGCUGCAGUGAGGAAUAUUGGUCAAUGGACGCAAGUCUGAACCAGCCAUGCCGCGUGCAGGAAGACGGCUCUAUGAGUUGUAAACUGCUUUUGUACGAGGGUAAACGCAGAUACGCGUAUCUGUCUGAAAGUAUCGUACGAAUAAGGAUCGGCUAACUCCGUGCCAGCAGCCGCGGUAAUACGGAGGAUUCAAGCGUUAUCCGGAUUUAUUGGGUUUAAGGGGUGCGUAGGCGGUUCGAUAAGUUAGAGGUGAAAUCCCGGGGCUCAACUCCGGCACUGCCUCUGAUACUGGCGGGCUAGAGUAUAGGUGCGGUAAGCGGAAUGUAUGGUGUAGCAGUGAAAUGCAUAGAGAUCAUACAGAACACCGAUUGCGAAGGCAGCUUACCAAACUACGACUGACGUUGAGGCACGAAAGCGUGGGGAGCAAACAGGAUUAGAUACCCGAGUAGUC
rnacentral:rRNA from 1 species